GAAAAGACGACUGAGAAGUGAGAAGUGUGGGACUUCCCACUCAGAAGUGGGAGUGCAGCAUUACUCUAUGCAGUUAGUUCCUCCCUUCUUCAUUGCAAAAGGGUUGUGCAGUGCUACAUUUUAGUGCGAAAGAAACCCCUUGCAGGAAGCUGUAAGACAGUGAAUGGCUGAAGGGCAAGAGCUAUUAUGGUAUAUAGGAAAAUAAGCUGGAAUCAGAGUUCCCCAGUCAGGAAACUGUGGAGUGAGAAGCUUCUACAGAGACUCUUGAAGAACCACAUAGGCAACCCACAACAGAAGGAACACUUAAGAUAUCUGCAACGCAGCCGGGUGCAGUGGCUCACGCCUGUAAUCCUAACACUUUGGGAGGCCGAGGCGGGCGGACCACCUGAGGUCGGGAAUUCAAGACCAUCCUGACCAACAUGGGGAAACCCUAUCUCUACUAAAAAUACAAAAUUAGCCAGGCGUGGUGGCGCAUGCUACUCGGGAGGCUGAGGCAGGAGAAUUGCUUGAACCCAGGAGGCUGAGGUUGCGGUGAGCCGAUAUCGCGCCAUUACACUGCAGCCUGGGCGACAGAGCGAGACUCCGUCUCAGAAAAAAAAAAAAAAAAAAAAGAUACCUGCAACACAGAGAGGCCAUUAAUGGAUACCAUAAUCACCCAGCGCCUUCCCACCUCCCACUUGGACAAGAGGGGAAGAACACAGAAGAGAAAGAGAUAUGCUGAAGACUGCAAUUUAUAAAAUUAUGUGUCUGUCACUCCUACCAAACCAUGAGGUCCUGGGGAGAAAUGAGACACUAUAAUGAACCAGGGUCUUCAACUAGGCCCAGCCUACAGGAUGCAUUUAGUGAUGAUGAUGACAAAGACAACAAUGAAAGCAAUAAAAAAAAAAAAAGAAUAGCUAAUGCAACUGGAAUAAUAACAGUUAACAUGUAUUCAGCUCCUACUGUGGCCCCAGACACAUUUCUACGAAUUGUAUAUGAUGUAUAUACAUAUGUAUAUACAUACAUCCUAAUUAAAUACUUAGGUGAUCCUCAGUAGAGACAAUAUUAGUUUUCCAACACAUUUGCAGAAUAUCUUCUUUUUUUUUUUUAGAGACAGAGUCUUUCUCUGUCCCCCACGCUGAAGUGCAGUGGUGCAAUCACAGCUCACUGCAGCCUGGAACUCCUGGACCAAGAGAUCCUCCCACUUCAGCCUCCUAAGUAGCUGAGACUACAGGCAUGCACCACCAUGCCUGGCUAAUUUAUUACUUUUUGGUUUGUUUCGUUUGAGACAGGGUCUCGCUCUGUGGCCCAGGCUAAAGUGCAGUGGUAUGAUCUUGGCUCACUGCAAUCUCCACCUCCCGGGCUCAAGUGAUCAUCCCAUCUCAGCCUCCUGAGCAGCUGGAGCUACAGCGCACCACCAUGACCUGCUAAUGUUUCUAUUUCCAGUAGAGACAGGGUUUCGCCAUGUUGCCCAGGCUGGUCUGGAACUCCUGGGUUCCAGCAAUCUGCCCCGCUCAGCCUCCCAAAGUGUUGCAAAGUGCUGGGAUUACAGGUGUGAGCCACCACGGCCAGCCUCUUUUUGUUCUUAAUAAUUCAUGAUUCCUUGUCACUCCACCCUUCAAAGAGCCAUGGCUGUCUAACUCAGAUUACAGAAAGUCUUACGAGACAGAAGACCAUGGCUCAAAGAGGAUAUCCCUGCCAGAGGAGAAGAAAAAGCUAGUCUGUUCAGCCCUGAAGACUGUGAAGCCAAAACUUCAAUGGGGGCUAUCCAUGAAUAGAGGGAUUGUGUGCAAUUUUACUUCUCUCUUGUGUACUUACUUAUAUAUGCCUAUAUGAAACAAGGAACGUGUAUUACUUCUAAAAUAAGUAAAGAAAGACAUUAUGGAGCCAUUUUUUUAAAGAGAAUGAUAUGCUACAGUCCAUGAAAUGAAUUUCAAUCAACAAUAAAAUAGUUAAUGCUAAGACACAUUACAAUCAGUAUUACAAAAGAAAAACAAGAAGCAAUGUCAUUAUGAACACUGAGUGUCACUUGAGAUUUCUGUCUAGUUUGAGGCCUGAAUGCUCUGAGCCCUGAAAAUAAUAAUAAAAAUGAUUUUGAGAAAGUAAAACAGGACCUCUCUUGAAAGGUUAAGAAAGCUGGGAUGAAAGAAGAAUUGAGGGACAAUUUAUCAACAAAUUCAAAUUGUCAUAAAAAUGAUAUUGACCAGCUGUUCACCACCUCCAUUUAGGACAAAACAAGACAAACAUAUAUCAAAUUGCCAUGAGUUUGUUGUUCAACAGUAAAACAACCUUCUCGAACAUAAAUGUGAUAGAUACUGAAAUUCAUAGCUCUUUAUCCCUGGAAAUACUUCAAACUAAUAUAUAUGGGCAACUCUUGAGGGUCUGCAUAUACAGUUUUGCACAGAAGCUAGACAAGUUACAUUCUUGCAAGUCUAACAUCACUCUAAUCCAAUGGAUUUAAACUAUUUGAACCAUGAUGAGAGGCCUUCAUGUAGUGCUGUAUAUAAAACAAAGUUUCUCCUAUUGUAUUUAAGUUAACUCAACCAUAACCACACAACACCCAACUUAUGAAACAGUUGACCAAAAUUUAGGCUUCUCCAGAAUAUUUUCUCUAAAAGAAACUUUGCAGCAGACAGAUUUUAGAAUAAUAUUUGACCUCCACUUAGGUUUUCUCUCUUGCUAGACUAUAAUGAGAACUGGAAUUAUAAUUGGACAUGAUGGAGUCAUUCAACCUGAACCCAUUAAAUUGAUGAUGCCAAAACUGUGGUAUUCUGGUUCCUUGGGGAGGGAAGGGGGUGUAAAUUAAAAGAAGAUCUAUGUUCCUGUACCAAUGAACUCAAUAAAUCUAGUUUCCU
rnacentral:lncRNA from 1 species